AAAUUCUUUUCUUUUACGUUAAACCUUCAACGUCUCCCUUCUAUUCCUAAAUUUGCAACCCCUUUCUUCCCUACGUCACUAUCACGACCAUCACAUCAGACCUUAACCUGCAAGACUGCAACCCCUAUCUUCCUUAUAUUCCUUAUGAUUCUUAAAGAUUAUAGACUUCUCCAAUACUUUAACUAUUUAGUCAAAACACUCUCUAAUCUGUGAUAUUAUAAUAUAUUCACAAGUAUUUGUUCUGCUAUGACCCAAUUACAGAGACAAUGGCAUGAACACUGCUUAUCUAUAAAUAGAUAUUUGAAUAAUCAUUUUCAAAAAUUCAGAAACUACAAGAUGGGAUUCGUCUAAUCUCUUGCAAGGCUAAGUACAAGUCCUCCAAUGACCAGCGAUCACACAACAAAUUCAAGGUUUUAUUUCUUCUUCAUAUUAUUUAUGUUCCUGUUAAUUGUUUGAUUAAAUUUAUUGUAUAUGAUAUAGUGUAAUUUGAAAAAGCUGGCCCCCUUUUUUUCCACCAUUUUUUUUUGAAGACGUUUAAAUGCUUUUGGAAAGCAAAUGGAUUUUGCUUUUUAGCGAGAUAUUGCAUGGUCAAUCCAAACUAAAUGGCACAGUGAAAUUUGAAACCAGUUCAAUUUUUGUUAUGGAUCAUUUUGAAGUUUUUUCUUGACUUUUGUCAAUGUUCAAUUGUAGUGUGGCAUUUUUUUGGGUGUAUUCAUGUUGUAAAAUAUUCUUUUCAUUCCCAUUUAGAACAUGUACACCACAUGUUUGACAAAAGGUCUCACUCAAAAUUGAAACUUACCAAAUAACACUAUUUGAAAUCCCAAGCAAGUUUGCGGUAACUUGCACCCAAGUUGUUUUGAGGGUUAUCAAUGGAUUGUAGCCAACUUGCUCAACUUUUUUCAAGCAGAAGGUUGUAGGUGUAGCUGAUUUUGUGGGGUUGAGGGGGAAGAUGCUCUUCCUACUGUCUGGGGCUGUUCCAAAAUUCAGUCGGUCUAGUAACAUGACGUGAUGGAAUGUGUGUUCAACAACUAGCCUUCUUUCGCUGAACUCAUGGAUUGGGCUUGGGAUAGGGACCAAAAAACAUGUGAACUCACUACCAUGCUAUCAUGGGUACAGUGGCAAUGAAGAAACAAGAUUCACCAGCUUGUGCUAACGAGAAGGAAUGAAAUCAUACAAUGGGCUAUUAUGUAUAUUCUAGUUAUGCUUAAGAAACAAAAGCACAUAAGGAUGGGCUGUUAUAUUAAUUCUAAUUAUGCCUUUUGUUCUAAUACAUAGUGUUUAUUCUAAUUAUGCUUUUAUUCACCCCAUAAUUCUUUGUAACUCUUACCUCUCUGUUUUAUAAUUCUACAUUUCAUAGCUUUAUUUUUAUUUGUUGGGUCCUAAUUUGGAAGACCAAUUUUACUGUCAAUUUUGAUUGUGUUUGUGGUUCUGGAUCCCUGAGCUUAAUGCUGAUACCAUGAAAUGAAGCAAUUUCAAGGCCUGCCCAAUAGUCACCACCAAUAUAUAUGGGUACCUUCUUUUCUCAUUCUUACUCUCUUUGGAAGACCACCAAUUUAGUUUUUUUUUUUCCUCGUUGGAUUUGAUAUAUCAUUUUCUCAAUCCCAAAAAAAAUCCUUACUCAAAUGGAAAUUCCUCCUUCCAUAUGGAUGGAUGGAAGGUACACCUAGCAUUCAAAACUAAUUGACUAUUGCAAGUUAUGCUAUGACUACAUUUGACCUUAGGCAAAACUUUUUCGACAUUGGAUCCAAGGGCAAGGAUGUGAUUCCCAUGUUGUCGAAGGUACAUAGCAAAAAAAAAAAAGUUAUUGAAGUGGAUGCUAAAGACAAAAAUUGAGAAGUUGUUGUUGCUUCCAAGGCAAUUGAUGAAGGACCAUGGCCAAAGAUGAAAAUACUUAUGUAACCAUUCCUUAUUAUACUUAUUAUUUGUCAAUUUUAAUUUGAUGUAGAAAGAAAACGUUAUUGUCUACAAAUUUUAAGAUUGAUUUUAUUUUUUUAAUUCUAAUAAAUAUCUAGGAAAGACAAAUGGCGUUUUUGCAUUUUGCUAA